rnacentral:rRNA from 1 species
AGGUCCAGCCUGCCCAGUGACCACAAGUUUAACGGCCGCGGUAUCCUGACCGUGCAAAGGUAGCGCAAUCACUUGUCUUUUAAAUAGAGACCUGUAUGAAUGGCCAAACGAGGGCUUAACUGUCUCCCCUUUCAAGUCAGUGAAAUUGAUUUACCCGUGCAGAAGCGGGUAUAAUAAUACAAGACGAGAAGACCCUUUGGAGCUUAAGGUACAAAACUUAGCCCACGUAAAGCAAUUUAGUAAAAAACAAAAACUUUGUGGAACAUAAUAUUUUACCUUCGGUUGGGGCGACCACGGAGGAAAAUAAAGCCUCCAAGUGGAUUGGGAUUGAGCCUCCUAAAACUAAGAGAAACACCUCUAAGCCACAGAACAUCUGACCAAAAAUGAUCCGGCAACAAAGCCGAUCAACGAACCAAGUUACCCUAGGGAUAACAGCGCAAUCCUCUCCCAGAGUCCAUAUCGACGAGGGGGUUUACGACCUCGAUGUUGGAUCAGGACAUCCUAAUGGUGCAGCCGCUAUUAAGGGUUCGUUUGUUCAACGAUUAAAGUCCUACGUGAUCUGA